ACGGAAGGCAGCAGUGGGGAAUAUUGGGCAAUGGGCGCAAGCCUGACCUAGCAAUGCCGCGUGAAGGAAGAAGGCUUUCGGAUUGUAAACCUCUGUCAACAGGGACGAAAAUGACGGUACCUGUGAAGGAAGCUCCGGCUAACUACGUGCCAGCAGCCGCGGUAAUACGUAGGGAGCAAGCGUUAUCCGGAAUUACUGGGUGUAAAGGGAGUGUAGGCGGGACUGUAAGUCAGAUGUGAAAUAUGCCGGCUCAACUGGCAGACUGCAUUUGAAACUGCGGUUCUUGAGUGAAGUAGAGGUAAGCGGAAUUCCUAGUGUAGCGGUGAAAUGCGUAGAUAUUAGGAGGAACAUCAGUGGCGAAGGCGGCUUACUGGGCUUUAACUGACGCUGAGGCUCGAAAGCGUGGGGAGCAAACAGGAUUAGAUACCCUGGUA
rnacentral:rRNA from 1 species